rnacentral:pre_miRNA from 1 species
AGCUUUCGACAUGAUUCUAAACAAUACGCUGUCGCAAUGUUGUUGAGAUCAUUAGUUGAAAGCCGA